rnacentral:rRNA from 1 species
AGAGAACUGUUGUUAAGGAACUCGGCAAAAUGACCCCGUAACUUAGGGAUAAGGGGUGCCACCAUCAGGAGGCCGCAGAGAAUAGGCCCAAGCGACUGUUUACCAAAAACAUAGGUUUCUGCUAAGUCGCAAGACGAUGUAUAGGAGCUGACGCCUGCCCGGUGCUGGAAGGUUAAGGGGAUCUGUUAGAGCAAUCGAAGCAGUGAACUUAAGCCCCAGUAAACGGCGGCCGUAACUAUAACGGUCCUAAGGUAGCGAAAUUCCUUGUCGGG